rnacentral:rRNA from 1 species
GUGAGGAAUAUUGGUCAAUGGGCGAGAGCCUGAACCAGCCAAGUCGCGUGAAGGAUGAAGGUUUUAUGAAUUGUAAACUUCUUUUGCAGGGGAAUAAAGUACGGUACGUGUACCGUUUUGUAUGUACUCUGCGAAUAAGGAUCGGCUAACUCCGUGCCAGCAGCCGCGGUAAUACGGAGGAUCCAAGCGUUAUCCGGAUUUAUUGGGUUUAAAGGGUGCGCAGGCGGGUUGAUAAGUCAGCGGUGAAAGUUUGCAGCUUAACUGUAAAAAUGCCGUUGAAACUGUCGGACUUGAGUGUAAAUGAGGUAGGCGGAAUGCGUGGUGUAGCGGUGAAAUGCAUAGAUAUCACGCAGAACUCCGAUUGCGAAGGCAGCUUACUAAGCUACAACUGACACUGAAGCACGAAAGCGUGGGGAUCAAACAGGAUUAGAAACCCGGGUAGUCC